rnacentral:rRNA from 1 species
CACGUAGGGCGCAAGCGUUGUCCGGAAUUAUUGGGCGUAAAGAGCUCGUAGGCGGUCUGUUACGUCUGCUGUGAAAACCCAGGGCUUAACCCUGGGCUUGCAGUGGAUACGGGCAGACUAGAGUGCGGUAGGGGAGACUGGAAUUCCUGGUGUAGCGGUGAAAUGCGCAGAUAUCAGGAGGAACACCGGUGGCGAAGGCGGGUCUCUGGGCCGUAACUGACGCUGAGGGGCGAAAGCGUGGGGAGCGAACAGG